GAUGAACGCUGGCGGCGUGCUUAACACAUGCAAGUCGAACGGAAAGGCCUCUGCUUGCAGGGGUACUCGAGUGGCGAACGGGUGAGUAACACGUGGGUGAUCUGCCCUACACUUCGGGAUAAGCCUGGGAAACUGGGUCUAAUACCGGAUAGGACAACGGUUUGGAUGUUGUUGUGGAAAGUUUUUCGGUGUGGGAUGAGCUCGCGGCCUAUCAGCUUGUUGGUGGGGUAAUGGCCUACCAAGGCGUCGACGGGUAGCCGGCCUGAGAGGGUGUACGGCCACAUUUGGACUGAGAUACGGCCCAGACUCCUACGUGUGGCAGCAGGGGGCAAUAUUGAUCAAAGUGCGCGAACCUAGUGGACGGACUCCCCGUGGGAUAUGACAGCCUAGGUGUUUUAAACUCCUUUCGCGAUUGACGAAGAGUUUUUGUGGCGGUACCUGGGGAAGAAGCCUAGGCUGACUACGUG
rnacentral:rRNA from 1 species